rnacentral:lncRNA from 1 species
AGAGUGUUGCCAUCGUAUACGCUAAAAGCUGAUUGGCUCCGCCAUCUUUUGCUCAGAUUUCCGGAUUAAUAUGGAAGGGGUAAACAGAUGAUCAGUUGUUUAUUUUUCGUUUACUUUACUCUGGUUUAACCUCACUUAACUAGAUAGAGAGAAAUAUUAAAUUACUAUUACUAUUAUUAUUCAGGUUGAAAAAUGCCUUCCUGUAAGGUAAAAGGUUGCGAAGUCGAUUGGGGAAAAAUAAUGUGAAAAUGAAUUCUUUCCCAAAAGAAUCUGAACGACGGAAAGUGUGGAUUAAAAAUAUAGGGUUAAAACAAGAUCCAAACAAAUAUGCUGUUGUUUGUGAAAAAAACUGUAAAUAGUAUUUAAGGCAACGAUUGUGAAUGAGUGAGAAGUCUAAUAAAGCCACGACGAGAUACUGUAUUAGAGCGUACGAUUUGGAGGUAUUUUUGAUUAGAUAAAUUUUGUAAAGUACAAUAUAAGUUAGAUUUGAUAAUGUGUAGUAUUUCCUAAUAAAUUAAAUACUAUUAAGUGUUUAUUGUUCUUGUAAGUUAGUGUGGUAAAUAAAUAAUAUGAAGUAAG